rnacentral:rRNA from 1 species
CUACGUAGCUCAGAGUUUGAUCCUGGCUCAGGAUGAACGCUGGCGGCGUGCUUAACACAUGCAAGUCGAACGAGGGUUAUCGGUUGAAGUUUUCGGAUGGAAACUGAUAAUUCCUAGUGGCGGACGGGUGAGUAACGCGUGGGGAACCUGCCCCAUUCCGGGGGAUACCAGUUGGAAACGAUUGUUAAUACCGCAUAAGCGCACAGCAUUGCAUGAUGCAGUGUGAAAAACUGAGGUGGAAUGGGAUGGCCCCGCGUCUGAUUAGCCAGUUGGCAGGGUAACGGCCUACCAAAGCGACGAUCAGUAGCCGGCCUGAGAGGGCGACCGGCCACAUUGGGACUGAGACACGGCCCAA